AGAGAGAGACAUGCGCGCAUAUCAAUAAGCGGAGGAAAAGAAACUAACAAGGAUUCCCCUAGUAACGGCGAGUGAAGCGGGAAGAGCUCAAAUUUGAAAUCUUAAAGGGUUUCCCUUUACGAAUUGUAGUUUAAAGAAGUGUUUUCUGUUGAGGUUUUGGUAAAAGUUCUCUGGAAUAGGACAUCAUAGAGGGUGAGAAUCCCGUAUUUGACCUUUACUUUCAACUUUGUGAUACACUUUCAAAGAGUCGGAUUGUUUGGGAAUGCAGUCCAAAAUGGGUGGUAAAUUUCAUCUAAAGCUAAAUAUUGGCGAGAGACCGAUAGCGAACAAGUACCGUGAGGGAAAGAUGAAAAGAACUUUGAAAAGAGAGUUAAACAGUACGUGAAAUUGUCAAAAGGGAAGCGUUUGACACCAGUGUUGUUUUUCUGAAAAUCAAUUAAAGAACUGUUUAUGCUAAGUUGUUUAGACUUUAUCAGCUAACUGUUUAGUUUUGAGCUUUUCUUUAAUGCACUUUUCAGUUAACAAGUCAACAUCAAUUUCUUUUGCUGUAAAAAAGCUUGAGGAAGGUGGCUUGAGAUUCGUCUUAAGUGUUUAUAGCCUCUUGCCUAUGCAGUCGGAGAGAUUGAGGUCUGCAGCGUAGAUCCUUCGGGGCUAAAUGCAUUUGUGCUAAGUUAUAGCAUUUUAUAGACAACUUGUUGACUAUGAUUUGUCUUGUAGCUUACUCGCUUAUGUUAUUUUACCUACGCUUAGGAUGUUGAGCGCAUGUCUCUCUCU
rnacentral:rRNA from 1 species